AACGAACGCUGGCGGCAUGCCUAACACAUGCAAGUCGAACGAGACCUUCGGGUCUAGUGGCGCACGGGUGCGUAACGCGUGGGAACCUGCCCUUAGGUUCGGAAUAACUCCCCGAAAGGGGUGCUAAUACCGGAUAAUGUCUUCGGACCAAAGAUUUAUCGCCUUUGGAUGGGCCCGCGUUGGAUUAGCUAGUUGGUAGGGUAAAAGCCUACCAAGGCGACGAUCCAUAGCUGGUCUGAGAGGAUGAUCAGCCACACUGGGACUGAGACACGGCCCAGACCCAUAGGGGAGGGGGGAGGGGGGAAUAGUGAAAAGGGGGGAAAUGUUGGAACCGACAUUGCCGGGAGAGAGAUGAGGGCCUGGGGGUAGAAACGCUCUUUUACCGGGGAUGAUAAUGACGGUACGGGAAAAAAAAGCCCCGGCAAACCCCGUG
rnacentral:rRNA from 1 species